UGGAUGAACGCUGGCGGCGUGCUUAACACAUGCAAGUCGAACGAUGAAGCCGGAGCUUGCUCUGGCGGAUUAGUGGCGAACGGGUGAGUAACACGUGAGUAACCUGCCCUUGACUCUGGGAUAAGCGUUGGAAACGACGUCUAAUACCGGAUACGACGCGCGAAGGCAUCUUCUGCGCGUGGAAAGAAUUUCGGUCAAGGAUGGACUCGCGGCCUAUCAGCUAGUUGGUGAGGUAACGGCCCACCAAGGCGACGACGGGUAGCCGGCCUGAGAGGGUGACCGGCCACACUGGGACUGAGACACGGCCCAGACUCCUACGGGAGCAGCAGUGGGAAUAUGCACAAUGGGCGCAAGGCCUGAUGCAGCAACGCCGCGUAGGAGGGACGACCGGCCUUCGGUUAGUAACCGUGUUUUACGGUAGGAAGGAAGACGAAAGUGAACGGUACCUGGACGAAGAAAAACGCAACCGGACUAAACCGUAGUACG
rnacentral:rRNA from 1 species